rnacentral:misc_RNA from 1 species
GAUGAAGAACGUAGCGAAAUGCGAUAAGUAGUGUGAAUUGCAGAAUUCAGUGAAUCAUCGAAUCUUUGAACGCACAUUGCGCCCCUUGGUAUUCCAUGGGGCAUGCCUGUUCGAGCGACAUUUGUACCUUCAAGCCUUGCUUGGUGUUGGGUGUUUGUCUCGCCUCUGCGCGCAGACUCGCCUCAAAACAAUUGGCAGCCGGCGUAUUGAUUUCGGAGCGCAGUACAUCUCGCGCUUUGCACUCAGAACGACGACGUCCAAAAGUACAUUUUUACACUCUUGACCUCGGAUCAGGUAGGGAUACCCGCUGAACUUAAGCAUAUCAAUAAGCGGAGGA